rnacentral:misc_RNA from 1 species
AAGUCGUAACAAGGUUUCCGUAGGUGAACCUGCGGAAGGAUCAUUACCAUUAAACCAUAUCGGGCGUUAUAAAAUCCCUCCCUCGGGGGGUCACGCUGUCGACACCCUUUGCCUAUGUGUACCUCUUGUUGUUUCCUCGGUGGGCUCGCCCACCGAUAGGAAUCCCCUAAACCCUUGUAUCUAUAAGCAUCAAAACUCUGAUAACCACAUAAAUAAUCACAA